GGAAGGGGUGUAUUWAUURGAUUAAAAACCAAUGCCCUUCGGGGCUCUCUGGUGAUUCAUAAUAACAUCUCGAAUCGCACGGCCUUGCGCCGGCGAUGGUUCAUUCAAAUUUCUGCCCUAUCAACUUUCGACGGCUGGGUCUUGGUCAGCCAUGGUGACAACGGGUAACGGAGGGUUAGGGCUCGACCCCGGAGAAGGAGCCUGAGAAACGGCUACUACAUCCAAGGAAGGCAGCAGGCGCGCAAAUUACCCAAUCCCGACUCGGGGAGGUAGUGACAUUAAAUACUGAUACAGGGCUCUUUUGGGUCUUGUAAUUGGAAUGAGUACAAUUUAAAUCCCUUAACGAGGAACAAUUGGAGGGCAAGUCUGGUGCCAGCAGCCGCGGUAAUUCCAGCUCCAAUAGCGUAUAUUAAAGUUGUUGAGGUUAAAAAGCUCGUAGUUGAACCUUGGGCCUAGCCGGCCGGUCCGCCUCACCGCGUGCACUGGCUCGGCUGGGCCUUUCCUUCUGGAGAACCGCAUGCCCUUCACUGGGUGUGUCGGGGAACCAGGACUUUUAC
rnacentral:rRNA from 1 species